rnacentral:rRNA from 1 species
GACGAACGCUGGCGGCGUGCUUAACACAUGCAAGUCGAACGAAGUGGCGAAAGGGUGAGUAACGCGUAAUCAACCUGCACUUCAGAGGGGGACAACAGUUGGAAAAGACUGCUAAUACCGCAUACUGAAGGAGGGGAGUGAGUGUGAUUAGCUAGUUGGAGGGGUAACGGCCCCACAAGGCGAUGAGCAGUAGCCUGUCUUAGAGGAUGAACGGCCACAUUGGGACUGAGACACGGCCCAGACCCCUACGGGAGGCAGCAGUGGGGAAUCUUCCGCAAUGGACGAAAGUCUGACGGCGCAACGCCGCGUGAGGGAUGACGGCCUUCGGGUUGUAAAGCUCUGUUAAUCGGGACGCGGUACCGGAAUAGAAAGCCACGGCUAACUACGUGCCAGCAGCCGCGGUAAUUC